rnacentral:rRNA from 1 species
UGGGGAAUAUUGCACAAUGGAGGGAACUCUGAUGCAGCGACGCCGCGUGAACGAAGAAGGCUUUCGAGUCGUAAAGUUCUUUUAUAUGGGAAGAUAAUGACGGUACCAUAAGAAAAAGCCCCGGCUAACUACGUGCCAGCAGCCGCGGUAAUACGUAGGGGGCUAGCGUUGUCCGGAAUCACUGGGCGUAAAGGGUUCGCAGGCGGAAAUGCAAGUCAGGUGUAAAAGGCAGUAGCUUAACUACUGUAAGCAUUUGAAACUGCAUAUCUUGAGAAGAGUAGAGGUAAGUGGAAUUUUUAGUGUAGCGGUGAAAUGAGUAGAUAUUAAAAAGAAUACCGGUGGCGAAGGCGGCUUACUGGGCUCAUUCUGACGCUGAGGAACGAAAGCGUGGGUAGCAAACAGG